AGUGAACGCUGGCGGCAGGCCUAAUACAUGCAAGUCGAACGGCAGCACAGCAGAGCUUGCUCUGUGGGUGGCGAGUGGCGGACGGGUGAGGAAUACAUGGGAAUCUGCCCAGUCGUGGGGGAUAACGUAUGGAAACGUACGCUAAUACCGCAUGCGCCCUAAGGGGGAAAGCCGGGGACCGCAAGGCCUGGCGCGAUUGGAUGAGCCCAUGUUCGAUUAGCUGGUUGGCGGGGUAAAGGCCUACCAAGGCGACGAUCCGUAGCUGGUCUGAGAGGAUGAUCAGCCACACUGGAACUGAGACACGGUCCAGACUCCUACGGGAGGCAGCAGUAGGGAAUAUUGGACAAUGGGCGCAAGCCUGAUCCAGCCAUGCCGCGUGAGUGAAGAAGGCCCUCGGGUUGUAAAGCUCUUUUGUCCGGAAAGAAAAGCACUGGGUUAAUACCCCGGUGUCCUGACGGUACCGGAAGAAUAAGCACCGGCUAACUUCGUGCC
rnacentral:rRNA from 1 species